rnacentral:lncRNA from 1 species
CCCAAUUAUUCAAUUUUUGAUGAAAUCAAACUAAGUUUAAUUUUGGACCCUGUGAACCUUAAUGUAGACCAAUUUGAAAACGGGACCAAAACUUAAGAAUCUACAUACACAGUAAGAUUCGGCAUAUCAAAUAACCCCAAUUAUUCAAUUUUUGAUGAAAUCAAACAAAGUUCAAUUUUGGACCCUUUGGGCCCCUUAUUCCUAAACUGUUGGGACCAAAACUCCAAAAAUCAAAACCAACCUUCCUUUUAUGGUCAUAAACCUUGUGUUUAAAUUUCAUAGAUUUCUAUUUACUUAUACUAAAGUUAUGGUGCGAAAACCAAGAAUAAUGCUUAUUUGGGCCCCUUUUUGGCCCCUAAUUCCUAAACUGUUCAGACCUCAACUCCCAAAAUCAAUCCCAACUUUCCUUUUGUGGUCAUAAACCUUGUGUUUACAUUUCAUUGAUUUCUAUUUACUUAUACUAAAGUUAUUGUGCGAAAACCAAGAAUAAUGCUUAUUUGGGCCCUUUUUUGGCCCCUAAUUCCUAA